GAUGAACGCUAGCGGCAGGCUUAAUACAUGCAAGUCGAGGGACAGCACAGGUAGCAAUACUGGGUGGUAACCGGCAAACGGGUGCGGAACACGUACACAACCUUCCUUUAAGUGGGGGAUAGCCCAGAGAAAUUUGGAUUAAUACCCCGUAAUAUAGUUGAAUGGCAUCAUUUGAUUAUUAUAGCUACGGCGCUUAAUGAUGGGUGUGCGGCUGAUUAGAUAGUUGGCGGGGUAACGGCCCACCAAGUCUACGAUCAGUAGCUGAUGUGAGAGCAUGAUCAGACACACGGGCACUGAGAGACGGGCCCGACUCCUACGGGAGGCAGCAGUAAGGAAUAAUGGUAAAUGGACGCAAGUCUGAACCAGCCAUGCCGCGUGAAGGAAUAAGGUCCUCUGGAUUGUAAACUUCUUUUAUUUGGGACGAAAAAGGGCCUUUCUAGGUCAACUGACGGUACCAGAUGAAUAAGUACCGGCUAACUCCGUGCCAGCAGCCGCAGUAA
rnacentral:rRNA from 1 species